ensembl:lncRNA
AUGGACACUAUAUACAGCUAUGCCAGCUCUCUGGUGGAUAAGAUCAGCUCAAUCUUCUGGUGGACAGGCAGCAGUUCAUCACCUGCGAAUCAGACGGAGCCAUCAGAGAGUUCAGACAAAAAUGAUGUCCCAAUCACAAAACCUCACAUAUUGGUGUCUGGGGUCCAGGAGGGGAGCAGUCCUGAACAAACCCAUUCAGGUCAUUCUGAUCAUCCUCGCAUCCCACCACCGUACUGCUCAAACUCAUUCACUGACCCUAAUGAAAUUGCAAAAGUGGACAAGAUCAACCUCAGGGUAAAAUGUGCUGGAAAGACCAUGGAAGUAGACAUGUUCCCACUGGAAAGAAUCUCCGUUUUACUAGAGGAGGCCUGUGAAUGGUAUGGGAAGAAACCAGAGAAAAUGUCGCUGGUUUAUGCAGGAAAUUAUAUGGAUGUGAACAUGACAGUGAGCCACUAUGGACUACGAGGAGGAACCACCGUACAUUUGAUUCAAGCCUAA